UGGUCACGUCAGAGGGCCUCCGGUUUAGGCCAAUCAGAGGCCCGGACAGGUGCCCCUCCGGGAGGACAGUUUCGGAGGCGGAAACCUGCAGGUCCACUAAAAGACAGACGCCUCAAUAUAAAGUUGGAUAUUCAGUCGUAUUUUUAUUUUUUUAAAUCAGAGAAUCACUGAAACAACGAGUUAUGAGAACGAAUCAAAUUAUUUUUUUAAACCGUGGAAAGAGAAUGAGUGGAGAUAGCUUGAGCUGAGAAUCCGUGUGUAUAAAGGUAGACGCACUUUUAAGACGCACAACAUAAUAGCCGUUUCAACUGAUUCCACAAGAUAUCAGCCAUGGAUUUUUAACAUCAACACGGACUAAAGUUCGUUCUUGAAGAGGUCCGAUCCGCUCCACUCCGACCCUGUCCCAUACCAGUCCGUAUAGUGCAGGUAGAAGAUGGCAGAGAGAGUGACUUGGUGGAGAGCGUUUAUGGGGAGCAGUAAGACGAUUAGUAGUGGUACCAAGGACAUCACCCCAGCUACCCAGAUCCCAGACACAGUGAAGGACCCUCUGACGCCCCGCACACAGGGAAUCCAAGCUACACCACACUCAGCAGCCCCCAAACUCCCAACCAAUCAACAGCCACCAGCAUCACCACAACAACCAGCAUCACAGCAGCCACAGGCACCAGUCAGUACAGGCACCAGCCUCUUCAGCGACGAGACCUUCGAUGACUCCCAGUUUGAGUCGGUCUUCAACGAACAUACUUGUCGUAGGAACCUGAGGGUGUCUCGGUCAGGCCGGUUUAAGGAGAAGAAGAGGGUACGCUCCAGUCUUCCUACUGGGAAAGAGGACGUACGAUAACGAGGAUGGUGAUGAUGAGGGAGAUAGUGGCCAAAAGACUGCUCUUACUUCUGAACUUUAUUUCAACACGGCCGUCCGUUCUGGGGGAAAAGGAAGGUAGAUGAAGAUGAAUUGUAAGUUGAAGAUAAGUUGAGGGUAGAGUUGAAGAUAAGUUGAAGAUAAGUUGAGGGUAGAGUUGAGGGUAAGUUGAAGAUAAGUCAAAGAUAAGUUGAAGAUAAGUUGAAGAUAAGUUGAAGAUAGUGAUUUGAGACCUUGACUUUACUCUUUGGAACCCUUUUGUCAGUACUAGAGAGUCUGUCUGUUCCGCUGCUGCUGCUUCUUCAUCAAUCAACAUGAGAUUCAUUUCAUUGAUUUUGAUUUAUUGAUCCCUUAUGGGAAGCUGAACAUUAUUUAAUCAACUUUUUAACCCUUGAAAAUGAAUAACUUAAGCUGUGUUUCCCAUCACAAAGAAAGUGAACUGAUACUCUUCUCUACCUCCUGUCUUGUUACAUUAUAAUGGACUGCUGAUUGGCAGUAGUGAAAGUUUCUCCGUGACAGCUAGGUAGGUACUUACCAGUCCUUCCUUGAGGAAAAUCACAGGUCUGACAAGGUUUGAUUGAUUUAAAGCAAUAGGAAGACAAGUGUGUCUUUACUAAUCCAAUCCCGUAAAGAUCAGUGGUUAGGCUACUUCAAGGAAGGAAAGAAGGGAGGAAUGAAGGAAGGAAGGACCAUUUUCUGUAAGAAGUACCACCUUUCAGCUUUAAAAACUAUCCAGACUUUUCUAGCCUUUUUUGUUGUUGUAUCAAAACAGUAUACUGAAAAUGAGACACACACACACACACAGCUACGCACAUUCCAGGAAAUGAUACGCUGUUUAUAAGAUGUUUACAUAUAUAUGUGUAAUAUUCAGAAUAUGAAGGAUAUAAUAUUGUUUUUACCAAUCAAUGUUGUUGUUUUGUUUAUUUAAAAAAAAAUAUGAUUACAGUGGGUUAGAAGGGUACUUUAAAAAAAAAAAUUUAAAGAGGUGGGAUUGCUUGAAUGAAUGAGCAUUGGUGUUUGUGACGGACAGGUGAAAAUAUAAGAUUAUAUCCACUAGCUGCUAUUCGGUUACAUACAGGCACACGUUUUAGAGGGAAACAUCACCAUCUGGAGCAAAUCCUGAUAGAAGAUGCUAUUAGAAGCUAAACAGUAAGGUGUUAUAGAUAUAUAUAAUCCUGAUAGAAGAUGCUAUUAGAAGUUAAACACUAAGGUGUUAUAGAUAUAUAUAAUCCUGAUAGAAGAUGCUAUUAGAAGCUAAACAGUAAGGUGUUAUAGAUAUAAUCCUGAUAGAAGAUGCUAUUAGAAGCUAAACAGUAAGGUGUUAUAAAUAUAUAUAAUCCUGAUAGAAGAUGCUAUUAGAAGCUAAACAUUAAGGUGUUAUACAUUUAUAUAAUCCUGAUAGAAGAUACUAUUAUAAACUAAACGGUAAGGUGUUCUAAAGUCUGUCUAUUCAGUAAUACAGUGAUUGACAUCACUGUGCUUCAAGUGAACGUGACACAUACACCAUGGUCUGUAAAUACUGCAAUGAAGGCUAAACAUGAUUGUUGUAAUGACAGAAGAACAAAUAAACGUGGAUCAAUGUGUGCCUCCAUGUCUGUGUGAACGCUUGUGUGUCUGU
rnacentral:lncRNA from 1 species